rnacentral:rRNA from 1 species
AUUGAACGCUGGCGGCAUGCCUUACACAUGCAAGUCGAACGGCAGCACGGGUGCUUGCACCUGUUGGCGAGUGGCGAACGGGUGAGUAAUACAUCGGAACAUGUCCUGUAGCGGGGGAUAGCCCGGCGAAAGCCGGAUUAAUACCGCAUACGAUCUACGGACGAAAGCGGGGGACCUUCGGGCCUCGCGCUAUAGGGUUGGCAGAUGGCUGAUUAGCUAGUUGGUGGGGUAAAGGCCUACCACGGCGACGAUCAGUAGCGGGUCUGAGAGGACGACCAGCGUCCCUGGGACUGCAGCACGGCCCAGACUCCUACGGGAGGCAGCAGUGGGGAAUUUUGGACAAUGGGCGAAAGCCUGAUCCAGCAAUGCCGCGUGUGUGAAGAAGGCCUUCGGGUUGUAAAGCACUUUUGUCCGGAAAGAAAUCCUUGGCCCUAAUACGGUCGGGGGAUGACGGUACCGGAAGAAUAAGCACCGGCUAACUACGUG